rnacentral:rRNA from 1 species
AUUGAACGCUGGCGGCAUGCCUUACACAUGCAAGUCGAACGGCAGCACGGGAGCAAUCCUGGUGGCGAGUGGCGAACGGGUGAGUAAUAUAUCGGAACGUGCCCAGUAGUGGGGGAUGACUGCUCGAAAGAGCAGCUAAUACCGCAUACGACCUGAGGGUGAAAGGGGGGGAUCGCAAGACCUCUCGCUAUUGGAGCGGCCGAUAUCAGAUUAGCUAGUUGGUGGGGUAAAGGCCUACCAAGGCAACGAUCUGUAGUUGGUCUGAGAGGACGACCAGCCACACUGGGACUGAGACACGGCCCAGACUCCUACGGGAGGUAGCAGUGGGGAAUUUUGGACAAUGGGCGCAAGCCUGAUCCAGCAAUGCCGCGUGCAGGAAGAAGGCCUUCGGGUUGUAAACUGCUUUUGUCAGGGAAGAAAUCCUCUAGGUUAAUACCCUUGGGGGGAUGACGGUACCUGAAGAAUAAGCACCGGCUAACUACGUGCCAGCCGCCGCCGUAAGAC